rnacentral:rRNA from 1 species
CGAACGGGGUUUAUAUGACGGAACUCUCCGGAGGGAAGAUAUAUAAACCUAGUGGCGGACGGGUGAGUAACGCGUGGGCAACCUGCCCUGUACCGGGGGACAACAGCCAGAAAUGGCUGCUAAUACCGCAUAAGCCUGCUGUGCCGCAUGGCACAGCAGGGAAAACCACGGUGGUACAGGAUGGGCCCGCGUCUGAUUAGUUAGUUGGCAGGGUAACGGCCUACCAAGACAACGAUCAGUAGCCGGCUUGAGAGAGUGGACGGCCACAUUGGGACUGAGACACGGCCCAUACUCCUGCGGGAGGCAGCAGUGGGGAAUAUUGCACAAUGGGGGGAACCCUGAUGCCGCAAUGCCGCGUGGGUGAAGAAGCACUCCCGGUGCCUAAAGCCCUGUCAGCUGGGAGGAAAAUGAAAAAAAAACGACUUUAAGCCCCCGGCUAACUGCGUGCCAACAGCCGCGGUAAUACGUAGGGGGCAAGCGUUAUCCGGAUUUACUGGGUGUAAAGGGAGCGCAGGCGGCGUGGCAAGUCAGAUGUGAAAACCCGGGGCCCAACCCCGGGAGUGCAUUUGAAACUGCCAUGAUGGAGUGCUGGAGAGGUAA